UAGGCGAACGGGUGAGUAAUUGUAUCGGAACGUGCCCAGUAGCGGGGGAUAACUACGCGAAAGCGUGGCUAAUACCGCAUACGCCCUUUGGGGGAAAGCGGGGGACCUUCGGGCCUCGCACUAUUGGAGCGGCCGAUAUCGGAUUAGCUAGUUGGUGGGGUAAAGGCCUACCAAGGCGACGAUCCGUAGCUGGUUUGAGAGGACGACCAGCCACACUGGGACUGAGACACGGCCCAGACUCCUACGGGAGGCAGCAGUGGGGAAUUUUGGACAAUGGGGGCAACCCUGAUCCAGCCAUCCCGCGUGUGCGAUGAAGGCCUUCGGGUUGUAAAGCACUUUUGGCAGGAAAGAAACGGCUCUGGUUAAUACCUGGGGCAACUGACGGUACCUGCAGAAUAAGCACCGGCUAACUACGUGCCAGCAGCCGCGGUAAUACGUAGGGUGCAAGCGUUAAUCGGAAUUACUGGGCGUAAAGCGUGCGCAGGCGGUUCGGAAAGAAAGAUGUGAAAUCCCAGGGCUUAACCUUGGAACUGCAUUUUUAACUACCGGGCUAGAGUGUGUCAGAGGGAGGUGGAAUUCCGCGUGUAGCAGUGAAAUGCGUAGAGAUGCGGA
rnacentral:rRNA from 1 species